rnacentral:rRNA from 1 species
ACGCUAGCGGCAGGCCUAAUACAUGCAAGUCGAACGAGAUUAUCCAGCUUGCUGGAUAUGAAAGUGGCGCACGGGUGCGUAACGCGUAUGCAACCUACCUUAAUCAGGGGGAUAGCCCGAAGAAAUUCGGAUUAACACCGCGUAAAAACACAGGAUAGCAUUAUCCAAUGUUCAAAUAUUUAUAGGAUUAAGAUGGGCAUGCGUGUCAUUAGCUAGUUGGCGGGGUAACGGCCCACCAAGGCGACGAUGACUAGGGGAUCUGAGAGGAUGACCCCCCACACUGGUACUGAGACACGGACCAGACUCCUACGGGAGGCAGCAGUAAGGAAUAUUGGUCAAUGGAGGCAACUCUGAACCAGCCAUGCCGCGUGCAGGAAGACAGCCCUAUGGGUCGUAAACUGCUUUUAUCCGGGAAUAAACCUUUCUACGUGUAGAGAGCUGAAUGUACUGGAAGAAUAAGGAUCGGCUAACUCCGUGCCAGCAGCCGCGGUAAUACGGAGGAUCCAAGCGUUAUCCGGAUUUAUUGGGUUGAAAGGGUGCGUAGGCGGCCUGUUAAGUCAGAGGUGAAAGACGGUAGCUCAACUAUCGCAGUGCCUUUGAUACUGAUGGGCUUGAAUAAACUAGAGGUAGGCGGAAUGAGACAAGUAGCGGUGAAAUGCAUAGAUAUGUCUCAGAACACCGAUUGCGAAGGCAGCUUACUAUGGUUUUAUUGACGCUGAGGCACGAAAGCGUGGGGAGCAAAC